CCCUUAGAUGUUCUGGGCCGCACGCGUGCUACACUGAUGCAUUCAACGAGUCUAAAACCUGGUCUGAUAGGGCUGGGUAAUCUUUUGAAAGUGCAUCGUGAUUGGGAUAGAUGAUUGCAAUUCUUCAUCUUCAACGAGGAAUGCCUAGUAAACGCAAGUCAUCAGCUUGCAUUGAUUACGUCCCUGCCCUUUGUACACACCGCCCGUCGCUACUACUGAUUGGAUGUUUAAGCGAGGUUCUCGAACUGCUAGUGACUGAUCUUCGGUGAGGUCGCAGUGUGGGAAGUGAACCUAGCUUUGGUGUCUAGAGGAAGUAAAAGUCGUAACA
rnacentral:rRNA from 1 species